rnacentral:rRNA from 1 species
UACGUAGGCAGCGAGCGUUGUUCGGAGUUACUGGGCGUAAAGAGCUCGUAGGCGGUCUGUCGCGUCGGAUGUGAAAGCCCGGGGCUUAACUCCGGGUCUGCAUUCGAUACGGGCAGACUAGAGUGUGGUAGGGGAGAUCGGAAUUCCUGGUGGAGCGGUGAAAUGCGCAGAUAUCAGGAGGAACACCCGUAGCGAAGGCGGCACUCUGGGCCGAUACUGACACUGAGGAGCGAAAGCGUGGGGAGCGAACAGG